UUAGUAAAAUUUAGUAACUAUAAAGAAGAAAUAUAAUUGAAAAUCAGUAAAAAUAAUUUAAGUUCAUUUUCCUUUGAAUUUUCACCAAAUCCAUCACUUUCUCCAUCCAUUAUUUCCUCAAAAUUCAUACUUUCUCUCUCCUAAAACCCCAAAAUCCACCAUUUUUGCAAUCUUGAAGCUUAGUUGAAAGAGGUGUUCUUGGGCCAAUUUGGAGUGAUUGAGCACCAUUUUUGUGGUAUGUGUAACUCUUUACUUCGCUACUUUAUUACUCUAUUUCAUACUUUUAUGCAAAGUAUUUGGAUUAUUGAGCAUGUUUGGAUUAUAGUACGACUUUUGUGUGAAUUUGGACUAAAAAGUCGUUAGAAAUCAAUGAGCCUCAACCUCAACCCCAAACACAAACACCCACACUUCCCAUACAUAGUAGUGUCUUGUAGGCUGAAAUGUGCGUUUCUUGAGGUCAUUGUAUACAGGAGUAUGACUUUUGUUGUUGAAUUUCAAUUCGGUAAAAAUAAUUUAUGUUCAACAAAAAUAAUUUUAGUUUAGUUAAAAUAAUUUUAAUUGAGCAAAAAUAAGGUGAAGUGAACCGGUUCUAAAACCCAUUAAUACAUCUAAUGAAAAAUUUACAAAUUUGGCGCGGGCUGUACAUUAAAAUUUUCGGGAAAUUAAAAUUUGAAAUACUACCUCAUUUCUAAAAUUUCACCUUGGUAGUAUGAGCAGUUGAGCACUAUUAUCUCUCCUCCCUCCAUUUCACGAAGCUAGGGUUUACAACAAAACCCAAUUUGCUCAAAUUCACGAAUUACUCAUUACGCUCGAAGUUUAAUUAUUUCUCAUUUUCUGAAAAAAUAGCAAUUGCAGCUCAUUAUUACUCAAUUUCUACGCAUCGAAUGGGGUUUGCUAUUCAGUUUCUACCAAAAUCUAAACUAAUAUUCACCGGUGGAAUUUGAUGUUUGAUUAUUAUUGAAAAAAAUAGGGGAGGGGAUCAAAUGGAUUUACUUUAAGGAGAUAGAGUAGGAGGAACGAGCAAAAUGAAGGAGAGAAAUUAAAGAACGAACAACCUUAUAUUUGAAGGUUGUGCUCAACUUAUUACCGGCGGCAAUUGCAGCUGAUGAUGCGGUGAACUAUGACUGGUGUACGCUAUACCCUUGUGAUUGAGCAACUUAUGCAGACUAUAGCAAGUUUUGCUUGGAGGUUUUACCCUUGUGGUUUUGCCAAAGGUUGUGGAGGUUGCACUAUAUUUCUUUGUAUCAUGUAUCUGAUUGUUUGAGAAGAACCCCUGUGAAAUGGGGUGUGUUUUUACAAAAUAAAAGUAUGGACCGACAAGGAGUUGAACAUGGCGAAGAAGGAAGAUCGUUAUAAAAAAAAAGGGGAUUUUGGCAAAUUGGGAACUGUGAAAGUUGCAUAUGGCUGUCCCCAUGAAAUGAAUGUACCAAAUGUUAUGCUAGUGAAGAGAUCAGCACGUAUUGUUCAUGAGACUAUGCAAGCAUUUAUGACAGCUGUAAAUGCUAAUGUGCAAGAAGAUGUUGAGAAUGAAGUUGCAGCAACGAAGGGGGAAAACGUUUCAGGCGUCAAGAUUAUGGUUACUCUAGGAAAAAGGCAGCAGGUGAAGGUCCUUCUGGUAAUUUGUUGGAUGUUAUUAUUUUCAGAAUGUUUCAGUUGGGACUCCUAUCAUGAUUGAUGAACAUGAUGUGAGAGAAAGAGUAAGGCUUGAGCAGGAGCAAAGAGAGAGAGAAAGCUUGAGCAGGUGCAAAGAGAAAGAGAAAGGGUUAAGGAGCAAAGAGAGAGAGAAAGGGUUGAGGAGCAAAGAAAGAGAGACAUAUUUGAGGAGCAGCAAAGACAAAGAAAGAUAGAAAGGCUUGAUGAGGAGCAAAGACAAAGAGAGAUAGAGAGGCAAAAGGAGGAGAAAAGAGAGAUAGAGACGCAAAAGGUGGAGAGUGAAAGGGUUGAGAGAGAGAGAGGGGCUACAAAUUGAGGAGAGUGAGAGGGUAGGGAGAGAGGUUGCAAAAGGAGGAGAGUAAGAGGGUUGAGAUAGAGAAGUUGCAAAAUGAGGAGAUCGAGUAAGAGGGUUGAUAGAGAGAGGUGCAAAAGGAGGGGAGUGAGAGGGUUGAGAGAGAGAGAGAGAGGAUGCAGAAGGAAGAGAGAGAGAGAGGGUUGAGAGGGAGAGGAUGCAGAAGGAGGAGAAAGAGAGGGUUGAGAGAGAGAAGAUGCAAAAGGAAGACAGUGAGAGGGUUGAGAAAGAGAGAGAGGCUGGAAAGCGAGAAUAAUGCGAAUUUGAACACUGAAAGCAGAAAUCCAAGGACUCCACGUAGUCCGGAAGUAUCUGAUGAUGAAAAUCAUGGUCUCUUUUGUCUAUAGUACUCUCGUGUCGCUGGAAAAAUGUACGAGUAAGUGUGGAGUUCACAGUUUGAAGGUCGGAGCAAGCGUUAUAUGAUGGAUCCGGCUUUUGCGAUUCGUGUAUUGCAAAGAAAAUCUAGCUCUGACUUGGAAAAGGCGACAUGCACUUAUACGCAGCAAAUGGUUGGCACUUCACCAAAUAGGAUUAAUGUUGUAAGCAGACAUCUAAUCCAUUUCAAUCUUACAUUCCUAAAUAUGAGAACAUGUCCAUUUUGCUACAAGUAUUAUUCUUUUUUUCCCCCUCACACCCAUGUGAUAGCAUAACCCAUGUAACCCAUUUUACAUAAUUUCACAGGUCUUUUUUUGGAGUAAUAACAUAACAAACAGAAAAAUGAACAAAUUAUUCAAAACACCCAUAACAAAAUAUGGAAAAACUAACAUAGGUUGUUAUUAAUCUUCUUGAAAAUCUUCCAGACUUUUUGAUUCAUGAUCCAUUUAGCGAUGAUUAGCUACUAAGAGUAGAAUUUGAAUGAUCUGAACAAGAGUGAAUUGAGAAGCAUUUCGCAGUAAUCUAGAUUUGUGCUAUUUGAUGAUGGGUAUUGGGUGACCAGGUGACAGAUCACAUAUCAACUCAGAGUCUAAUGUGUAUUUAGCUGAUAGCCUUAUGGUCAGUUAAAUCUUCUAAUUUCUUUCACUUUUUGUUAAUUCCUCUAGCUUUAUUACCAGCAAAAUUAACAAAAAUCGAUUUUAUUUAUUUUCUUUUUUGUUUCACAACUUGUUAACCUAUGUGAGGUCUGACAUUGAAUUUUUAUAUAGCUUUUCAUUAAUUUGUCUUUGUUUAUCUUACAUAUCUUUCCUUGUAGGUGUUUGCUCCUGUUCUUAAGGAUCAUCAUUGGUGGUGUAUAGCAUUUUCUUUAAAUCGGGGAGAAAUUUUAGUGAUAGACUCUAUUUCAACGUCGGAUGUGGCUGGUGUACAUUCAGUUGAUGUGACUAUCAUGGAAUUAAUACAUUGGCUGUUUAUACUUUAACAGAAUCUUCAUUUCAAUUACAUAACAUAAGUUGACUUUUGCAGGCUUCUGCAAUAGAUGAAGUAUUUACGUUGUUGGAUCAUAAAUGGGAAACAGGUACCAUAAAUGGGUGUGUGAGAACUUCUUUGAGUAUGGAUCACCAGGGUGAGAUUCAGUUGUGAAAUCCAUAUGUUAGCUGCGAUAAAGAGAAAUUCGGAGAGGUUUUUAACUUAAGCUGAUAUCAACUUUGAGCGGUCGUGGCUGUUAUGUGAAGACUUGCUCUUUGAUUUCAACGAAGCACGAUCUCAUGUACUGGAACUAAUCGCUCCAGUGUAGUCUGAUAACAACUGGUCUGUUAAUCUAUUCUUUUUGGGAUGUGAAUUGAUGCGCAUAUAAUUGCUGUUAAUAUUUUAAUUACUAUGGCAAUAGGCAUGUAAAUGGUUGCGACAGGUUAGAUUAUGGGCCUGCAAUUAUCCGGUCGCAUGUAAAACAUUCGAUCGCAAAACCUUAUUUCAAUUGAGAAAUAAUUUUUAUA